rnacentral:rRNA from 1 species
GACGAACGCGGCGGCGUGCCUAAUACAUGCAAGUCGAACGAACCGCGACUGAGUGCUUGCACUUGGUCAAGGUGAGUGGCGAACGGGUGAGUAACACGUGGGUAACCUACCUCAUAGUGGGGGAUAACAGUCGGAAACGACUGCUAAUACCGCAUAGGACAUGGGAUCACAUGAUUCUGUGAGGAAAGGUGGCGCAAGCUAUCGCUAAGAGAUGGACCCGCGGUGCAUUAGCUAGUUGGUAGGGUAACGGCCUACCAAGGCGAUGAUGCAUAGCCGACCUGAGAGGGUGAUCGGCCACAUUGGGACUGAGACACGGCCCAAACUCCUACGGGAGGCAGCAGUAGGGAAUCUUCCGCAAUGGACGCAAGUCUGACGGAGCAACGCCGCGUGAGUGAAGAAGGUCUUCGGAUCGUAAAGCUCUGUUGUUAGAGAAGAACAGCGCAUAGAGUAACUGUUAUGCGUGGACG